AAACCCUAAUAUCCUCCUUCAUUUUUUCUGAUUUUCGCCCACCUUCAUUCCUCAGUUCCUCUACUUCCUCACCAAAACCCUUCAUUUCCUCACUUCCUCCCUCAUCACCUCACUCCGGCCACCGUAUCUCACCACAAUAUCUCACUCCGGCCACCAUACCUCAAUUCUUUCCUUCAGUUUCAGUGUCUCCUUGUUCCAAUCUUAGUUCCUUUCUUUAGAUCUGGUGUUCGUAGACUUCGUACUCCCUCAAAUCCGCGACGCGCCACCACCUUGUCAAUUUCAUCACUCACCACCACCUCCCUCACAACCGCAACAGUCUGUCACGGCCCCUUACCACCGCUCGUCCGCCGUUCUACUCUCACUACAGCACUCAAAGGAAGUUGAGGAGCUUGGAGCUGCCAAGUUAAUUGAAGGCUUGAAGUUUCCAUGUUUACUGUUAUUAAAUUUUAAGUCCUUUCUUAUGUUUGUAACUUAAUUUUAAUGGCUGAACAUUUUUUUUUUUAAUUAUGUUUAUUUCUUAAAUUUGGCCAAUAUCAAGCCUCAAGACAUAUUAUAUUAUUAUGGACUGAAUUUUUUAAAAAGAAACUUAUUAUGGACUGGACUA